rnacentral:rRNA from 1 species
ACUACGGGAGGCAGCAGUGGGGGAUAUUGCACAAUGGGGGGAACCCUGAUGCAGCGACGCCGCGUGGGUGAAGAAGCGCCUCGGCGCGUAAAGCCCUGUCAGCAGGGAAGAAAAUGACGGUACCUGAAGAAGAAGCCCCGGCUAACUACGUCCCAGCAGCCGCGGUAAUACGUAGGGGGCAAGCGUUCUCCGGAUUUACUGGGUGUAAAGGGGGCGCAGGCGGCGAUGCAAGCCAGGAGUGAAAGCCCGGGGCCCAACCCCGGGACUGCUCUUGAAACUGCGUGUCGGGAGUGCAGGAGGGGCAGGCGGAAUUCCUGGUGUAGCGGUGAAAUGCGUAGAUAUCAGGAGGAACACCGGUGGCGAAGGCGGCCUGCUGGACUGCAACUGACGUUGAGGCCCGAAAGCGUGGGGAGCAAACAGGAUUAGAUACCCGUGUAGUC